UGCCAGUGAUAAACUGGAGGAAGGUGGGGAUGACGUCAAGUCAUCAUGGCCCUUACGACCAGGGCUACACACGUGCUACAAUGGCAUAUACAAAGAGAAGCGACCUCGCGAGAGCAAGCGGACCUCAUAAAGUAUGUCGUAGUCCGGAUUGGAGUCUGCAACUCGACUCCAUGAAGUCGGAAUCGCUAGUAAUCGUGGAUCAGAAUGCCACGGUGAAUACGUUCCCGGGCCUUGUACACACCGCCCGUCACACCAUGGGAGUGGGUUGCAAAAGAAGUAGGUAGCUUAACCUUCGGGAGGGCGCUUACCACUUUGUGAUUCAUGACUGGGGUGAAGUCGUAACAAGGUAACCGUAGGGGAACCUGC
rnacentral:rRNA from 1 species